UACAGAGGGGGCAAGCGUUAUUCGGACUUAUUGGGCGUAAAGGGCGCGUAGGCGGCCUGGCCAGUGAAAGGUGAAAUCCCUCGGCUUAACCGAGGAACUGCCUUUCAGACUGCUUGGCUUGAGACCGGGAGAGGUGAGUGGAAUUCCCAGUGUAGCGGUGAAAUGCGUAGAUAUUGGGAGGAACACCAGUGGCGAAGGCGGCUCACUGGCCCGGUACUGACGCUGAGGCGCGAAAGCGUGGGGAGCAAACAGG
rnacentral:rRNA from 1 species